rnacentral:rRNA from 1 species
UACGAAGGGGGCUAGCGUUGCUCGGAAUCACUGGGCGUAAAGGGUGCGUAGGCGGGUCUUUAAGUCAGGGGUGAAAUCCUGGAGCUCAACUCCAGAACUGCCUUUGAUACUGAGGAUCUUGAGUUCGGGAGAGGUGAGUGGAACUGCGAGUGUAGAGGUGAAAUUCGUAGAUAUUCGCAAGAACACCAGUGGCGAAGGCGGCUCACUGGCCCGAUAC